GAGCAGCAGUGCCCAGGGAUCUGAUCAGGGCUCUGAUGAGUCUCUCAUGGCCUGUAAAGCCUGAGACAGCUGCCUUGUGAGGGACUGAGAUGCAGGAUUUCUUCACGCCUCCCCUUUGUGACUUCAAGAGCCUCUGGCAUCUCUUUCUGCAAAGGCAUCUGAAUGUGUCUGGGUCCCUGUUAGCCUAAUGUGAGGAGGUGGAGAGACAACCCACCCCCGUGUCCACCGUGACCCCUGUUCCCACGCUGACCUGUGUUCCCUCCUCAGUCAUCUUUCCUGUUCCAGAGAGUUGGGGCUGGAAGUCUCCAUCUCUGUCUGAACUUCAUGCUGCACUGAGCUGCAACCUCUUACUUCCCUACUGAAAAUAAGAAUCUGAAUAGAAAUUUGUUUUCUCAGUAUUUGCCACGAGAAGUUGAUGGGUUAAUUAAGUCAAUUCCUAAAAUUUGAGAGAGGAAUAAAGACCUGAGAACCUUCUAGAA